UGACAGAGGUGCGGCACGCAUCAGUAACCCCAUGAAGCGCCGGGAAGCGCGGGGCGAAAGGGCAAGUCGCCGAAGGAGCGCCGGGUUUCCCGACCUUGCGCGCCCUGGGGUCAAGGAGAACAUCCUUGGCACUGUCGCAAUAGCGGAGGGCUGUC
rnacentral:ncRNA from 1 species